GAUGAGCGCUGGCGGCGUGCCUAAUACAUGCAAGUCGAGCGAGCUUGCCUAGAUGAUUUUAGUGCUUGCACUAAAAAUGAAACUAGAUACAAGCGAGCGGCGGACGGGUGAGUAACACGUGGGUAACCUGCCCAAGAGACUGGGAUAACACCUGGAAACAGAUGCUAAUACCGGAUAACAACACUAGACGCAUGUCUAGAGUUUGAAAGAUGGUUCUGCUAUCACUCUUGGAUGGACCUGCGGUGCAUUAGCUAGUUGGUAAGGUAACGGCUUACCAAGGCAAUGAUGCAUAGCCGAGUUGAGAGACUGAUCGGCCACAUUGGGACUGAGACACGGCCCAAAACUCCUACGGGAGGCAGCAGUAGGGAAUCUUCCGCAAUGGACGAAAGUCUGAUGGAGCAACGCCGCGUGAAUGAUGAAGGCCUCGGGUU
rnacentral:rRNA from 1 species